rnacentral:rRNA from 1 species
UCGAGCGAGUCUGCCUUGAAGAUCGGAGUGCUUGCACUCUGUGAAACAAGAUACAGGCUAGCGGCGGACGGGUGAGUAACACGUGGGUAACCUGCCCAAGAGAUCGGGAUAACACCUGGAAACAGAUGCUAAUACCGGAUAACAACAGAUGAUGCCUAUCAACUGUUUAAAAGAUGGUUCUGCUAUCACUCUUGGAUGGACCUGCGGUGCAUUAGCUAGUUGGUAGGGUAACGGCCUACCAAGGCGAUGAUGCAUAGCCGAGUUGAGAGACUGAUCGGCCACAUUGGGACUGAGACACGGCCCAAACUCCUACGGGAGGCAGCAGUAGGGAAUCUUCCACAAUGGACGCAAGUCUGAUGGAGCAACGCCGCGUGAGUGAAGAAGGGUUUCGGCUCGUAAAGCUCUGUUGUUGGUGAAGAAGGACAGGGGUAGUAACUGACCUUUGUUUGACGGUAAUCAAUUAGAAAGUCACGGCUAACUACGUGCCAGCAGCCGCGGUAAUACGUAGGUGGCAAGCGUUGUCCGGAUUUAUUGGGCGUAAAGCGAGUGCAGGCGGCUCGAUAAGUCUGAUGUGAAAGCCUUCGGCUCAACCGGAGAAUUGCAUCAGAAACUGUCGAGCUUGAGUACAGAAGAGGAGAGUGGAACUCCAUGUGUAGCGGUGAAAUGCGUAGAUAUAUGGAAGAACACCGGUGGCGAAGGCGGCUCUCUGGUCUGUUACUGACGCUGAGGCUCGGAAGCAUGGGUAGC